UUUAAUCCAAAGUAUAACUUCUGCACACAGUGACAUAUUUUUCACUGUAUCUCAUCUGAGACACUCAGAGCACACAGACGUAUAGAGCACUGACAUGCACUUCUUUGGUCUUAUUUUCUUGGGAAACUCUAAUGUCCUCAAGAGUGUUUAAGACACACAAGCAACACACUCCUAUCUAAGGCUUCUUCCACUGACUCUAAAUCUGAUCACCAAUCUCUGGCAUCUCAUCUGGCUCUCCGUGUUUAUAUCUUUCCAUUGCUUUCAAAGCCAGAUCAGCUAUCUCUCACUAUAUUAGCAAUGAAUGGUGAAAGCCAAGUGUUCAGAUGAUACAGCAAGCAAGGACAACGUCAGUUCCAAACCCAAUGUCAAAAUGAAACCGAACAAUGCAAAACAAAAUGUCCCACUUCUUGUGAAAGACAACUGAGGAAAGUAAGUGAAGAUGGUGCUUGUUCUAAUACUCAGCUCAGGAUCUAUUAAAAAGAGUCAAUUCAGCUCCACAUUAAAGCAACACAAUGCAGUACUUUCACCUUACAAUAAUGCCUUCAAACUCAUUCUGAUGCUACACUGACUUGU